rnacentral:rRNA from 1 species
UUCCAGACUCCUACGGGAGGCAGCAGUGGGGAAUAUUGCACAAUGGGGGAAACCCUGAUGCAGCGACGCCGCGUGAGUGAAGAAGUAUCUCGGUACGUAAAGCUCUAUCAGCAGGGAAGAAAAUGACGGUACCUGACUAAGAAGCCCCGGCUAACUACGUGCCAGCAGCCGCGGUAAUACGGAGGAUGCGAGCGUUAUCCGGAUUUAUUGGGUUUAAAGGGUGCGUAGGCGGACUGUUAAGUCAGCGGUAAAAGCCCGGGGCUCAACCCCGUCGUGCCGUUGAAACUGGCGUUCUUGAGUGAGCGAGAAGUAUGCGGAAUGCGUGGUGUAGCGGUGAAAUGCAUAGAUAUCACGCAGAACUCCGAUUGCGAAGGCAGCAUACCGGCGCUCAACUGACGCUCAUGCACGAAAGCGUGGGUAUCGAACAGGAUUAGAUACCCCUGUAUUC